rnacentral:rRNA from 1 species
AUGAACGCUAGCUACAGGCUUAACACAUGCAAGUCGAGGGGCAUCAGGAAGAAAGCUUGCUUUCUUUGCUGGCGACCGGCGCACGGGUGAGUAACACGUAUCCAACCUGCCCUUUACUCGGGGAUAGCCUUUCGAAAGAAAGAUUAAUACCCGAUGGCAUAAUGAUUCCGCAUGGUUUCAUUAUUAAAGGAUUCCGGUAAAGGAUGGGGAUGCGUUCCAUUAGGUUGUUGGUGAGGUAACGGCUCACCAAGCCUUCGAUGGAUAGGGGUUCUGAGAGGAAGGUCCCCCACAUUGGAACUGAGACACGGUCCAAACUCCUACGGGAGGCAGCAGUGAGGAAUAUUGGUCAAUGGGCGCUAGCCUGAACCAGCCAAGUAGCGUGAAGGAUGAAGGCUCUAUGGGUCGUAAACUUCUUUUAUAUAAGAAUAAAGUGCAGUAUGUAUACUGUUUUGUAUGUAUUAUAUGAAUAAGGAUCGGCUAACUCCGUGCCAGCAGCCGCGGUAAUACGGAGGAUCCGAGCGUUAUCCGGAUUUAUUGGGUUUAAAGGGAGCGUAGGUGGACUGGUAAGUCAGUUGUGAAAGUUUGCGGCUCAACCGUAAAAUUGCAGUUGAUACUGUCAGUCUUGAGUACAGUAGAGGUGGGCGGAAUUCGUGGUGUAGCGGUGAAAUGCUUAGAUAUCACGAAGAACUCCGAUUGCGAAGGCAGCUCACUGGACUGCAACUGACACUGAUGCUCGAAAGUGUGGGUAUCAAACAGGAUUAGAUACCCUGGUAGUCCACACAGUAAACGAUGAAUACUCGCUGUUUGCGAUAUACAGUAAGCGGCCAAGCGAAAGCAUUAAGUAUUCCACCUGGGGAGUACGCCGGCAACGGUGAAACUCAAAGGAAUUGACGGGGGCCCGCACAAGCGGAGGAACAUGUGGUUUAAUUCGAUGAUACGCGAGGAACCUUACCCGGGCUUAAAUUGCAGUGGAAUGAUGUGGAAACAUGUCAGUGAGCAAUCACCGCUGUGAAGGUGCUGCAUGGUUGUCGUCAGCUCGUGCCGUGAGGUGUCGGCUUAAGUGCCAUAACGAGCGCAACCCUUAUCUUUAGUUACUAACAGGUCAUGCUGAGGACUCUAGAGAGACUGCCGUCGUAAGAUGUGAGGAAGGUGGGGAUGACAUCAAAUCAGCACGGCCCUUACGUCCGGGGCUACACACGUGUUACAAUGGGGGGUACAGAAGGCAGCUAGCGGGUGACCGUAUGCUAAUCCCAAAAUCCUCUCUCAGUUCGGAUCGAAGUCUGCAACCCGACUUCGUGAAGCUGGAUUCGCUAGUAAUCGCGCAUCAGCCACGGCGCGGUGAAUACGUUCCCGGGCCUUGUACACACCGCCCGUCAAGCCAUGGGAGCCGGGGGUACCUGAAGUACGUAACCGCAAGGAUCGUCCUAGGGUAAAACUGGUGACUGGGGCU